CGUAAAUCACUCCGCCACGCCGCCCUCUUUCGACUUCUCCUCACUCACGCCGCCAUCUCUCCACUUCUCCUCUUCUUCCACCUCCUAAUCCAUCGCUAUCCAUCUAAUGGGAUCCCUCCAACCCGCUGGCCGCUGAUGUGCAUCACCUCAAUCAGAUGAACAGAGAUCCAUUAGUUUGGUGGGCGAUCUGACGGAUACUCAGCGGGCGGGCGGGCGAUUGGAGGCCGUGGAGGUUGGGGGACAGAGACCGGCCGGCGUGUGCAUUUGGGCCAACGGCGGCGAUUGGGCGGGAAGGUCGGAGGAAGUCUUCUGCAACGAGCAAUUUCGUCUUCAGCUUACAGAUUAACAAUGGCAAGGAUACCAAGACGACUACAGGACUUGGAACUUACAAUGCAUGAUCCAGAACAUGUGCAGCUUGGUGAAGAAAAUCUGCAAGGUCCUCCAGAGAUUGAUAAUAUAGUACUAGGAAGAUCUCAUGAAUCCACUAGCCAAAUCAAGAUAAUUUGUAAGUCUCGAUGUGCAGGAGCCACGAACUACUAUGCAGGAGCUGCAACAAACCAAAUCAAAAGAGGGUUGUGGCAGUGCGCCUUUACCACAUGAACAUGUGAUCACUAAGAAUGCCCAUGCUGAAAAUAAUCUUCCCGUGCAGCAAGGUGGUCCUGAACCAAGUUUACGACUUCAAGUCGCUAAGCAGGCAAACCUAUGCUACAUAUGUAAAUGACAAUGAUUGUACACAAGGUUGUCUAAUUUUGUAUUUAAGUGCAAGAAUGAUAAUGCUCAAAAUAACAAUGCAACCAAGCCAUGUGGUCAUCACCAAGUCGCUAAGCAGGUAAAAAUAGUUAAGCCAACUCCAGCAUAACCACAAAGCAUUGGGUUGUGAGGAGUUGAAAAGUGAGUGCAUUAAAGGAGCUAGGAGUGGCUAGUUAGUUGAGGAUUUGAAAAGGGGGUGCACUGGACGAGUCAGGAGCAGUUGAUGAAUCAAUCUUUGAACGAACAAAUAUUCUGGAUUAUGUAUAGAUUUUAGCUUCAUAGAGAAAAAUAGUUCCAGUCUAUAGGAUCUUUUCUUAUUUAUUUUCAACAUUGCAUGUUUCAUAUGAAUGUUUGAUAUUAUUUUGCUGUGAAGUCAACGUACUUUUAGUGGA